UACGUAGGGCGCAAGCGUUGUCCGGAAUUAUUGGGCGUAAAGAGCUCGUAGGCGGUCUGUCGCGUCCGUUGUGAAAACUCGAGGCUCAACCUCGGGCUUGCAGUGGAUACGGGCAGACUAGAGUGCGGUAGGGGAGACUGGAAUUCCUGGUGUAGCGGUGAAAUGCGCAGAUAUCAGGAGGAACACCGGUGGCGAAGGCGGCACUCUGGGCCGGUACUGACGCUGAGGAGCGAAAGCGUGGGGAGCGAACAGGA
rnacentral:rRNA from 1 species